GGAAGUAAAAGUCGUAACAAGGUCUCCGUUGGUGAACCAGCGGAGGGAUCAUUACCGAGUUUACAACUCCCAAACCCACUGUGAACUUAUACCCAAAACGUUGCCUCGGCGGGCACAGCGGUACCCGAGCCCCCGCAAGGGAGCAGAGGCGCCCGCCCGCCAGGGGACCAAAACUCUUCUGUAUACCCAUAGCGGCAUGUCUGAGUGGAUUUAAAAACAAAUGAAUCAAAACUUUCAACAACGGAUCUCUUGGUUCUGGCAUCGAUGAAGAACGCAGCGAAAUGCGAUACGUAAUGUGAAUUGCAGAAUUCAGUGAAUCAUCGAAUCUUUGAACGCACAUUGCGCCCGCCAGUAUUCUGGCGGGCAUGCCUGUUCGAGCGUCAUUUCAACCCUCAAGCCCUGCUUGGUGUUGGGGACCGGCUCAGCGGGUGCGGGCUUCGGCCCGUCCCGUGCCGCCCCCGAAAUGGAUCGGCGGUCUCGUCGCAGCCUUCUUUGCGUAGUAACAUACCACCUCGCAACAGGAGCGCGGCGCGGCCACUGCCGUAAAACGCCCAACUUUUUAGAGUUGACCUCGAAUCAGGUAGGAAUACCCGCUGAACUUAAGCAUAUCAAUAAGCGGAGG
rnacentral:rRNA from 1 species